UACGGAGGGUGCGAGCGUUGUCCGGAAUCAUUGGGCGUAAAGGGCGCGUAGGUGGCCCGGUCAGUCUUUGGUGAAAGCGCGGGGCUCAACCCUGCGUCGGCCAGGGAUACUGCCGCGGCUCGAGCACUGUAGAGGCAGGCGGAAUUCCGGGUGUAGCGGUGGAAUGCGUAGAGAUCCGGAAGAACACCGGUGGCGAAGGCGGCCUGCUGGGCAGUUGCUGACACUGAGGCGCGACAGCGUGGGGAGCGAACAGG
rnacentral:rRNA from 1 species